CCUGACCCUGGGCCCAGCCCAAAUGUAGCCCAUCCACCACCCUUGUAUCCUGCUCCCACGUUUGGCAAGCAGGCGGUGUUCAAUAAAUGCCCGUGGCAUUGCUCAGUACCUACGACUUGAUUGCCAAGAGGUGAACAGUCACACAUGUGGAGCCACAGUCCUGUGACGGAGGAGAGUCCUGAGGCAUCAAGGUCGCUCAGUGAUGAAAUGUACAGAUGGGGAGCUGAGGGAAGGAACAUUCGCGCAGGGCUUGCAGUGAGCCCCGGGCCUGAGGAUCUGCAGCUUGUGG
rnacentral:lncRNA from 1 species